rnacentral:lncRNA from 1 species
CGAGCUGGAGGGGCCCGCGCGUCGGAGGCCCCGCACGCCUUCCCACCCCGCGGGGCCGAGGGAGGGGAGAUGCGGGGGUGUGGCCGUGCGAGGGGGCGCGCGGGCUGGGCGUUCCGGACGUGGGGAGCCCGGCACGACCCUCCUGGCAGUGGGGGACGAGCCAGCCCCGCGCGCUCCUUCAGAUAAAGCCCCCGUGGGAGCGAGGGCGCCCAGGGCCGGGACCGGGCCUGGCUGCACACAAGGCUCCUGCGCCACGCGCCCUGGCCGUGCGCCCUGGGCAGUGCGGGGUCCGCCCGGUCGCUGCCUCCCGCCCCUCUGGGUCAGCGCCACCCUCCGAUCAGGCGCCGCAAAAGCCUGCGUGCGGUGGCCACCACCUUGGUGGUCCCUCCCUUGGAGAUGACGGGCCACUGCCUUUGGCGCUGGACUCUGCUGCCUCCAGGGGCGAUGACCGAAGCGCUCUGUUUCUGAGAGGCCGAGGAGAGUGGCUGCGGUGGUGACGCUGGUUCUCGACCCCCUUGCUUUCCUGGGGAGUGGUCUCUGGCAGGAGCUGGUGGAAGGGCUUGGGUCACCACUAGCAUGGCUAUGACGCCCCCGUGGAUGGCUGGGGUCACCCCGCCCCAGGCCUACUGGAGGUGGGAGAGGGUUCAGGGACAGAGCGCCCAGCGCCAACAAAGGGGCCUUUCUCUGCCGGCUGGGAAGAGGCUGGCCCUUGUUAGGUCAGGACGGGUGUCGUCUGGGCGCCGCCGCGCCCACCCGGGGCUCGGAGAGACCCCGGCCGCCACUGUGCACCAGAGGGGGAGGCGGCCCCUGGCUAAACGGUGCCACCUUCUGCCCCGCGAUGCCGCCAAGAUGCCCGAGAGCGCCUGGAAGUUCCUGGUCUAUCUGGGCUGCUGGAGUUACAGUGCCUACCUGCUCCUGGGCACUGACUACCCCUUCUUCCACGACCCGCCCUCCGUAUUCUAUGGUAGGCCUGGGGGUACCGGGGAGGGGCGACCCCACGUGGGGCCCUGGGGCAGGAAGCCAACCAGGACUCCCGCAUGGGCCAGCGCGGCCGGUCAAGGUAUCAGGACAGCUCAUACCGAGGCCCUGGGGCACUCGCAGGCAGAGGGGGCCACCUCAGCCCCUAGCAGGAGUUCACACAGAACUCCAUCUGCAGCCCUUUUUAUUUUUAUUGAUUGUAUUUUUGGGGUUUUUUUGAGACAGGGUCUCGCUAUGUAGUUCAGGCUGACACUGAGCUCACUAUGUAGCCCAGGCUGGCCUCAAACUCACAGUGAUCCUCGUCCCUCAGCCUCUCAGGCAUGCAACACCACGCCCGGCUUUAUUUUUUAUUUUGAGACAGGGUCUCUUUAAGUUACCCAAGCUGGGAUCAAAUUUGUGACCUUCCUGCCUCAGCCUCCUGGAGUGCGGGGAUCACAGGCGCAUGUGCUGCAUCCACGCCCAGCCGGCCUGGCCGAGAGCUGAUUCUCUCCGCUUGCGUUUAUCAAGCGUAGUGCCCCAGGCCUUGUGCGGAGCAGCGCCUGCCGUGUGAGCCCCCGUUGUGAGGAAAGGGGCGGACACAGUGUCAGGCCCUGGGGUUCCCCAGCCAGAGGCCUGGGCUUUGGCAGGCUGAGGCGGGAGGAUCCUGUUUGAGACUAUCCUGGGCAACUGAGGGGGACGCUGUUUCAAAUAAUAAUAAAUUAUAAUAAUAAUAAUAAGAAGAAGAAAUAUAAAAGGCCGGGACGGAGCUCAGCGGCAGAGCCCUUGCCUGCUGUGUGUGCAGCCCGGUCCAGGCUCUGAGACUGCUAAAUAACUGCGUAAGAAAAUGAGUAAGUGUGAGACACCAAGCGCCUAGGCCAGGCAUGAAGACGAGCACUGUCUUGCGAAAGGUCCCCGCUGCUGUCGCGUCCCGGCUGGGGAGGGCUUCUGUGGGGCAACCACACACUGGUGUGACUAUGCCUCGUGCUUACGCCGCUGAACCUACAGCUGGCUCGAGCGCUAGGUUUUAUGAUGAAUACAUCGCACUACAGUUCCAAAAAAAGGCCAAGC